UACGUAGGGUGCGAGCGUUGUCCGGAAUUAUUGGGCGUAAAGAGCUCGUAGGCGGUCUGUCGCGUCGAUCGUGAAAACUUGGGGCUUAACCCUGAGCUUGCGGUCGAUACGGGCAUGACUGGAGUUCGGCAGGGGAGACUGGAAUUCCCGGUGUAGCGGUGAAAUGCGCAGAUAUCGGGAAGAACACCCGUGGCGAAGGCGGUUCUCUGGGACGGUACUGACGCUGAGACGCGAAAGCGUGGGGAGCGAACAGG
rnacentral:rRNA from 1 species